UGCCUUCCCGCCGGCGUCGUCCCCUCCGUUUAAACCGCCGUGUGGUUUUCCGUCCUUCACCCUGGGCCGGUCGUUUUACACGCCCUGCCGUCGCGCGCUGGCUCGCGCCUGCGGCGGGGCCGGGUGCUACACCACCGUAGGAGUACACCCUGCCCACUACACGACCUGGGACUACCCUCCGGGACACACCCGGGAGCUACACUACCCGGACUACACUACUUUUUGACACCCCGCACUAGGUUCGACACACUUGACACACGGGCGGGCUUCGGCUGUCGCUUUACUNGGACUCGGACCCCCGCGUCGCCUCUCACCGCUACGUAUNGGGUAGACGGAGGUACCCCGGGCUCACCACAACGGGGCACACCGGACUUGGCCGGUACCGGCCCGUACCCCCUGACGGACGGGGGUUGACUCCGGGCCCCCCCACCCUAGGGGGACCCUUNGUACGGACCACCCGGGGGGCCCCNNACCGUACCCCUACCCCUUUACCCGGGGGGACCGGGGCNCGGGCNCGGUACCGAGGGGACCACCUUCCCUUUAUCCCCGGGCACAACUUGGGGAACCCGGACCNCAUCCGUUNCCUUGGAACCCCGGAGGGACGGCCCCNUCCCGGCCCGGACGGUUUGGAACCGUGUU
rnacentral:rRNA from 1 species